AAGUAUAAUUUUGCAUUUUAUUCAUUCAUUCCAUCAGCUGGGAAUUGCUCUAUUGUACAAAUACAGUUUUGUACAAAAAAAUCACAAAAUGUUACAAAAUAAAAAAAGUACAAACUGCAUUACUUAAUAAAUAUGACUAAAAGUAGUUAAAGUGGCAAUGAGAUAGAUUUUAAGUUGGAAACAUUGUUUGACCCAGCAAACCAUACAAGCUCUGUUUACAGACAUUUCUACAUUAAUACAGGGCAAUCCUAUUUCACCUUCUGAAAGAAUGUAAAAGAAAUAUUAAGACAGUGUUCUCCUGCUGUAACUGCCAAGGGUGGCUCCAGACAUUUAUGCCAUUAGUUUAUAAAUCUCUUAGUUGGAUCCAAGAAGUUAAAGCAGGAGGCUUAUCUUGUCACAGAGUUUUAUACCAUAUUAACAUUCUCUUUAUAACAAAAUAACAAAUGUCAAUAAAAACAAUUGAGAGCACCAGACGAUCUACUCUACAUAUCAACCAGGGUACAGAAUAACCAUUCUGCCAUCAGCAAAUAUCAGACUUUCAUUCAAGUAAGACCCGGUACUAUCCCUUAAAACAGGAAAAAAAAGAAAAAAAACACCUUCCCACAACCUUCCAUUAGAUAAUUUUCUUUAAAAGAUUCACCAUUUCUAGAAAAAUAAUGAUUUCCAAAACAACAGCUCUGUUUCAUCAAAAUGGAAUGGGCCAAACAUCUGGUAACAAGAAUGUUUCAAUAUCCAUUUGAAAUAAUUAUCUAAGAAUUGUGAAAUUCAAAUUUCAACAACAUAAAAUAACUACCAAAUCACAAAUUCUAUUCAAAAUAAUACAUUUCAUAUAAAGCACUUCUCUGGAUUUAUGCCUGAACACAUCAUAGAUGAAGGUACACCAGUUUUUAAAAAUGUUGUGCAAAAAUACAUUUUUAUAGAAAAUAGACUACCAGGAAUGAACAAAUUUACACUGUGAGAAAUCAGCUUGCAAAUUAAGUAGUGCUCACUUUAUACAGCAAAUUAUAAAUAGCAAUAAAAUCACCCAAAGCUAUCAUGAAACAUCAUUUAGGUGGCCCAGCAACCUUCAGCUCCGAGAAAACAUUCAAAAAGAUGAUUAAGGCAUUACACCUACAAUAAAAUCUACUAGCAAGUUUGAAAGUGCUAUUACCCUGAUUAGAGUUCAUGUGAUUCUCCAAACACAAGUUAUGUAUGCAAUUAUUCCCAGGGUGUAAGGUUUUGAGACAUUUCAAGAGCAUGCAUUUUGUUCAAUAUACAUUUUGGAUAGGGAUAUGGCCAUAGAUUUGGCAAGUUCUUCGUCGCGUUUCCUUUGCACUUGAGUUUGUUUGCACCAGUUGUCGUACUCUGGGUUAGGAUAGGAGUGAUCAAAUACAGCAUCAUAGUGUCCGUUACUGAGCCAACUGAGCCAAAUACUAGGCCUCAGGGAAUCCUCUGGGCCCAAAUAAUGAAUCAUAGUAGACACCGUGGGGCUCUCCAGCCUCCCUCCAGUAGUUAAGUGGAUAUUCACAUUCAGCAUCUGCCCCAUGGCCAGCAAUUCCGGGUACCCAGCCCAUGCCCCGUCUUGGGCAGCAGCGAUGAUAAACUCCCCCACGUCGCCCUCAAUCAGGGGGCUGAAGUGGUCGAGAUGGUCGGCGAUAUAGUGCACCGUCUGCUCCCUCAGCUCCCGGUGCAGGCUCUGGUCCCCAUACACCGUCUUGCUGACAGCUCGGUAGAGGCAGUUGCCGUCGGGAAUGAUGUGAAAUCGGUACUUAUUCCUCUGCCGCAAGUACUUGUCCUGCUUCUCCACCUCGGCCAGGUACAGGGCCAGCUUCUCGUCUCUGGGAUCUGACCUGGAGACGAUCACCGGCUCCGCCGCGCUGCUCGGGGCGGUCUCGAUGCUCCGGGCUGGGGUGCCUCGGCCUCUGGUCGGGCCUCCGCGCCGCGUCCCCACCGGGAGCGUCGCAGCGGUCGCCGCCCCUCCCAGCCCCUAGGGCCCCUUUCCA
rnacentral:lncRNA from 1 species